AACGAACGCUGGCGGCAUGCCUAACACAUGCAAGUCGAACGAAGUCUUCGGACUUAGUGGCGCACGGGUGCGUAACGCGUGGGAAUCUGCCCUUGGGUGCGGAAUAACUUCUCGAAAGGGAUGCUAAUACCGCAUAAUGUCGUAAGACCAAAGAUUUAUCGCCCAAGGAUGAGCCCGCGUAAGAUUAGCUAGUUGGUGGGGUAAAAGCCUACCAAGGCGACGAUCUUUAGCUGGUCUGAGAGGAUGAUCAGCCACACUGGGACUGAGACACGGCCCAGACUCCUACGGGAGGCAGCAGUGGGAAUAUUGGACAAUGGGCGAAAGCCUGAUCCAGCCAAUGCCGCGUGAGUGAUGAAGGCCCUAGGGUUGUAAAGCUCUUUUACUCGGGACGAUAAUGACGGUACCGAGAGAAUAAGCCCCGGNUAACUCCGUGCCAGCAGCCGCGGU
rnacentral:rRNA from 1 species